AGUGACCAGAAGACAAGUGUGAGUCUUCUGUUAUGCCUAGGCAGGGCCACCAGAGGGCUCCUUGGUCUAGCAGUAACGCCA
ensembl:miRNA